ACAUGCAAGUCGAGCGGACAGAUGGGAGCUUGCUCCCUGAUGUUAGCGGCGGACGGGUGAGUAACACGUGGGUAACCUGCCUGUAAGACUGGGAUAACUCCGGGAAACCGGGGCUAAUACCGGAUGCUUGAUUGAACCGCAUGGUUCAAUUAUAAAAGGUGGCUUUUAGCUACCACUUACAGAUGGACCCGCGGCGCAUUAGCUAGUUGGUGAGGUAACGGCUCACCAAGGCAACAAUGCGUAGCCAACCUGAGAGGGUGAUCGGCCACACUGGGACUGAAACACGGCCCAAACUCCUACGGGAGGCAGCAGUAGGGAAUCUUCCGCAAUGGACAAAAGUCUGACGGACCAACGCCCCGGGAGUGAUGAAGGUUUUCGGAUCGUAAAACUCUGUUGUUAGGGAAAAACAAGUACCGUUCGAAUAGGGCGGUACCUUGACGGUACCUAACCAAAAAGCCACGGCUAACUACGUGCCACCAGCCGCGGUAAUACGUAGGUGGCAAGCGUUGUCCGGAAUUAUGGGGCGUAAAGCGCGCGCAGGCGGUUUCUUAA
rnacentral:rRNA from 2 species